GGAUGUCAGAGGGAGCUGGCUGUUCCAUCUGUCACUCUGUUGAUUGCUGUGGUUGACUUGGCUAAUCUGGCUGGCCAGGCUGGUGUCCCCAUCCUCCUCGUCACUCUGUGUGUGUCCCUCCCAAUGCCGCUCUGUUGGCUGAACCUACUCCAGUAAAGAAAGGACAAGUAGCUUUCCUUCACUGUUAGCACUCCAAAAUAAACUCUCAAAAUACAAAAUAAUUAAUUAAGUCACUUUGCUUAUUUAAAAAAAGUCAAGAGACCAGACAUAUGGCUCAGCAGGUAAGAAUGCUUGUCAACACC
rfam:Cricetulus griseus cell line CHO-K1, whole genome shotgun sequence.